AUUGAACGCUGGCAGCAUGCCUUACACAUGCAAGUCGAACGGCAGCACGGGGCAACCUGGUGGCGAGUGGCGAACGGGUGAGUAAUGCAUCGGAACGUACCUUUCAGUGGGGGAUAACGUAGCGAAAGUUACGCUAAUACCGCAUAUUCUGUGAGCAGGAAAGCAGGGGAUCGCAAGACCUUGCGCUGAUUGAGCGGCCGAUGUCAGAUUAGCUAGUUGGUGAGGUAAAGGCUCACCAAGGCGACGAUCUGUAGCGGGUCUGAGAGGAUGAUCCGCCACACUGGAACGGAGACACGGUCCAGACUCCUACGGGAGGCAGCAGUGGGGAAUUUUGGACAAUGGGGGCAACCCUGAUCCAGCCAUGCCGCGUGAGUGAAGAAGGCCUUCGGGUUGUAAAGCUCUUUCGGCCGGGAAGAAAUCGCACGGGCUAAUACCCUGUGUGGAUGACGGUACCGGAAUAAGAAGCACCGGCUAACUACGUGCCAGCCGCCGCGGUAAUAC
rnacentral:rRNA from 1 species